AAACUGUUAACAACGGAUCUCUUGGUUCUGGCCUCGCUGAAGAACGCACGAAAACACGAUAAGUAAUGUGAAUUGCAGAAUCCAGUGAAUCAUCGAAUCUUUGAACGCACAUUGCGCCCGCCAGUAUUCUGGCGGGCAUGCCUGUUCGAGCGUCAUUU
rnacentral:rRNA from 1 species